GACGAACGCUGGCGGCGCGCUUAAUACAUGCAAGUCGAGCGAGAACCAGGGCUUCGGCCCUGGGGACAGCGGCGAACGGGUGAGUAACACGUGGGUAAUCAACCCCCGACACCGGGAUAGCCCAGGGAGACUUGGAUUAAUACCGGAUGCCCCAUCUGGCUUUCGAGCCGGCUGGAAAAGGGUAGCUUCGGCCUCCGGUCGGGGACGAGCCCGCGGGGGAUUAGCUUGUUGGUGAGGUAAAGGCUCACCAAGGCGACGAUCCGUAGCUGGUCUGAGAGGACGAUCAGCCACACUGGGACUGAGACACGGCCCAGACUCCUACGGGAGGCAGCAGUAGGGAAUCUUGCGCAAUGGGCGAAAGCCUGACGCAGCGACGCCGCGUGAGGGAAGAAGGCCUUCGGGUUGUAAACCUCUUUCAGGAGGGACGAAGCCACUCGGGUUAAUAGCCUAGAGGGUGACGGUACCUCCAGAAGAAGCCCCGGCUAACUACGUGCCAGCCGCCGCAGUAA
rnacentral:rRNA from 1 species